GGAUGGGAAUACAGUUCAGUGGCAGAACAUAUGCUUUAUAUGCAUAAGGUCCCAGGUUCAAUCCCUGGCCUAUCCA